GAAUAGGGCGCAUAAGUAACAGGUCGUAGACCCGAAACCAGGUGAUCUACCCAUGUCCAGGAUGAAGGUAAGGUAAUACUUACUGGAGGUCCGAACCCACGCACGUUGAAAAGUGCGGGGAUGAGGUGUGGGUAGCGGAGAAAUUCCAAUCGAACUUGGAGAUAGCUGGUUCUCUCCGAAAUAGCUUUAGGGCUAGCCUCGAGGUAAAGAGUCAUGGAGGUAGAGCACUGUUUGGACUAGGGGCCCUUCUCGGGUUACCGAAUUCAGAUAAACUCCGAAUGCCAUGUACUUAUACUCGGGAGUCAGACUGCGAGUGAUAAGAUCCGUAGUCGAAAGGGAAACAGCCCAGACCACCAGUUAAGGUCCCCAAAUAUAUGUUAAGUGGAAAAGGAUGUGGGGUUGCUUAGACAACCAGGAUGUUGGCUUAGAAGCAGCCACCAUUGAAAGAGUGCGUAAUAGCUCACUGGUCGAGUGACCCCGCGCCGAAAAUGUACCGGGGCUAAACAUAUUACC
rnacentral:rRNA from 1 species